AGUCCAAUAGGGCAGAGUCAGCUGCACAAAAACAGACGAUCCAAAGAAGGCAAAACAACCAAACUAUUUUCCUCUCUUUCAUAACCUCUCUCUCUCCAGACUUCCCUAUAUCUAUCUACAUGAUCAUCCCUCACUGUAACCAAUGUAUAUUUUAUUAUAAAUACAUUUUAAUAUAAAGCUACAAACAAAAUAUUAAUACUUAUUUUCCUCUGUUUUACCCCUUCCUCCAUCAAUUUGCAGACUCUGUUCCCUUUUUUCUUUUUCAGUUCUUAAUUCAUAAAGUGACGACGAUCCUAGAGGUGGGUUUGGCUUUUCAUCCAUGGAAACCAUUUAGAUAAGGGAGAGGAAUCUGAAAAAAAAAAAACAGUUCUUUUUAGAGGGAGUUUCGAUUUGAUCAUGGCGGUUGCUGAGAGUGCGGGGGCGAAAAUCGGGUCAUCGGGUCAAAAUUUGGAAAAUACUGUGGUAUCGUCUGACUCCAAUUUGGUAAACGAUCCAGAUAAAUCAAAGACCAAGACUGAUUCCAUGAAUGGUGCUAAGACUACUAAAGAAGACAUGUUUGAACAAGAAAAUCCUGUAGCAAUCACUAAGAGCAAUGGCGAUAGCAACAUACCGAUGCAGAAUGGGUUUAAUGAAAAGAACCAGCAGCAGACGGUGACAAAGAAUGGAGGGCUUAAUGGGUUUAGCAAUGUAGAAAAUGGGAGUAAUGAUGAGAUUUUCAAGAACGAGAUGAGAGAUUUGGUUGAGAUUUUAUCUAAGCUAAACCCCAUGGCUGAGGAAUUUGUACCGCCUUCCCUUGCCAAUCAUCAUCAUCAUGAAAAGCAUGAUCAAAACCAAAAUCGAGAUAAUCGCUUUCCGGAAAAUGGGUUUGGAUAUACUGACAAUUUUGUAGUGCAGGCUAAUUCUGGCAACGCUGAUGGACAUACUAAUAGAAGGAAAAGGAAUAACUAUAGCCAAGGGAAGAGAAGGUUGAACAAUAGAACGAGCAUUGCACAGCGAGAGGAUGCUAUUAGGAAGACCGUUUAUGUAUCUGAUAUCGAUCUGCAGGUUACCGAAGAGCUUCUUGCGGGUCUCUUUCUGAGUUGUGGACCAGUUGUUGAUUGUCGUAUAUGCGGUGAUACUAAUUCUGUUCUCCGCUUUGCUUUUGUCGAGUUUUAUAAAGAAGAGGAUGCGAGAGCUGCUUUGAAUUUGUCUGGAACCAUGCUUGGUUAUUAUCCUGUAAGAGUGCUGCCUUCAAGGACUGCAAUUGCACCAGUUAACCCAACUUUUCUACCGAGGUCUGAGGAUGAGCGAGAAAUGUGCACAAGGACCAUUUACUGUACAAACAUAGACAAGAAGAUUACUCAAGCUGACAUCAAGCUCUUCUUUGAAUCAGUUUGUGGAGAGGUUAAACGCUUGAGGCUAUUGGGAGACUAUCAUCACUCAACUCGUAUUGCCUUUGUUGAGUUCAAAAUGAAAAAUGUUUUCUGCGUUUAGUAGGUCUAGAUUUGUCCAGCUUUCAUCAACUAUCCUGAGUUCUACUUGGGACCAGGGGAUGGGCAUGCAUACCUGGAGCUCACUUGAAUCUCAAUGACUAUAUGAAGUGUUGUUGGAGGUUAUUUGUGGAUAAACCUCGUCUGAGGAUGCACUCUGGACAUGGCUGAAAGUGCUAUUGCAGCUCUCAACUGCAGUGGUGCAAUUUUGGGAUCACUGCCCAUAAGGGUAAGCCCAUCAAAGACACCUGUUCGGCCCCGUACUCUUCACCCUGCAAUGCAGUGAAACAUCCUUGCUUGUGUUCGUUCAACUGGCAAUAGAUUUACCACAUACAUAGGUACAGCAGUACAAUCGAGGUACUUCUGGCGUUAAUGUUAUUAUCUUGUUCAUGCAACUUAGCAUCUUUAUUACUUGUAGGGGGUUAAUUGCAGUUGUCUUUAGCUUGUAGAGUUGGAUGUUAAAUUUUUUAUGUUGCAUACGACAAUGCAGUCUCUUGUUCCGGUAUAUCUAACUGAUAAGACUGUUUCUUGGCUAUUGCAUUUUCAGAUUCCCUUUAUGUAAUUAUGUAGUACAUUUUCCGAUUCAGUGUUAAAUAUGAAAUACCAGUAAGUAAUAACAUCA